GCAUCUAGAGGGGUAUUUGGGUCAUCUUUCAACCCCUAUAUAUUCUAUAAACAUGGAAUUUAGCCCCAAUCCAACCACAUUAUACUCUCUUUUCUCAAAAUUCUCUCAAGAACCCCAUAGGGUUUUCAUAGGAGCUUCAAGAUUCAAAGGAUUUCACCUUAAAUUUUCACGGAUCUUCCAUCUAAGGUAUGCGUAGUGUUCAUCUAUGGAUCCAUUUCGUUCAUAGAGCUCAAGAACCAUGUUUUAAAUAUUAUUUUGUGAUUGUCUUGUUGUGAUAUGACCAUGUACAUGUUGAUCAUUGUUGUCUAAG
rnacentral:lncRNA from 1 species